CACACUACACUGUCCUGGAAUACCAGCUACGAUACUGUCCCAAGGACGGUCCAGAGUCUGGUCAGUGGCAGUAUGUAACCAGCGUGGUCAGUAGUGUUGUGGUCAGUAACCUCCAGAGGUCUACUAGUUACCAGGUGCAGGUCAGAGCCAGGACCAUGGCUGGAUACAGCAACUUCUCCCCAGCCUCGACCUUCACCACCCUGCCUGACAAAGUAGAGGCCCACUCUCAGCUGAUGGUGACAGGUGUUCUGGUUGCCAUGGGGAUACUCCUCCUUAUCACCGCGGUGAUCAUUGCUGGAUACUGCUACUGGUAAGAGAGAAAGGAGGAGGGGAGGAGAGUAAGAGGAGAGAAGAGGACAUGAAAAGGAGAGCUAGAGGACAGGAAGA